rnacentral:rRNA from 1 species
UUAAGCGACUAAGCGUACACGGUGGAUGCCCUGGCAGUCAGAGGCGAUGAAGGACGUGCUAAUCUGCGAUAAGCGUCGGUAAGGUGAUAUGAACCGUUAUAACCGGCGAUUUCCGAAUGGGGAAACCCAGUGUGAUUCGUCACACUAUCAUUAACUGAAUCCAUAGGUUAAUGAGGCGAACCGGGGGAACUGAAACAUCUAAGUACCCCGAGGAAAAGAAAUCAACCGAGAUCCCCCAGUAGCGGCGAGCGAACGGGGAGCAGCCCAGAGCCUGAAUCAGUGUGUGUGUUAGUGGAAGCGUCUGGAAAGGCGCGCGAUACAGGGUGACAGCCCCGUACACAAAAAUGCACAUGCUGUGAGCUCGAUGAGUAGGGCGGGACACGUGGUAUCCUGUCUGAAUAUGGGGGGACCAUCCUCCAAGGCUAAAUACUCCUGACUGACCGAUAGUGAACCAGUACCGUGAGGGAAAGGCGAAAAGAACCCCGGCGAGGGGAGUGAAAAAGAACCUGAAACCGUGUACGCACAAGCAGUGGGAGCACGCUUAGGCGUGUGACUGCGUACCUUUUGUAUAAUGGGUCAGCGACUUAUAUUCUGUAGCAAGGUUAACCGAAUAGGGGAGCCGAAGGGAAACCGAGUCUUAACUGGGCGUUAAGUUGCAGGGUAUAGACCCGAAACCCGGUGAUCUAGCCAUGGGCAGGUUGAAGGUUGGGUAACACUAACUGGAGGACCGAACCGACUAAUGUUGAAAAAUUAGCGGAUGACUUGUGGCUGGGGGUGAAAGGCCAAUCAAACCGGGAGAUAGCUGGUUCUCCCCGAAAGCUAUUUAGGUAGCGCCUCGUGAAUUCAUCUCCGGGGGUAGAGCACUGUUUCGGCAAGGGGGUCAUCCCGACUUACCAACCCGAUGCAAACUACGAAUACCGGAGAAUGUUAUCACGGGAGACACACGGCGGGUGCUAACGUCCGUCGUGAAGAGGGAAACAACCCAGACCGCCAGCUAAGGUCCCAAAGUCAUGGUUAAGUGGGAAACGAUGUGGGAAGGCCCAGACAGCCAGGAUGUUGGCUUAGAAGCAGCCAUCAUUUAAAGAAAGCGUAAUAGCUCACUGGUCGAGUCGGCCUGCGCGGAAGAUGUAACGGGGCUAAACCAUGCACCGAAGCUGCGGCAGCGACGCUGAUGCGUUGUUGGGUAGGGGAGCGUUCUGUAAGCCUGCGAAGGUGUGCUGUGAGGCAUGCUGGAGGUAUCAGAAGUGCGAAUGCUGACAUAAGUAACGAUAAAGCGGGUGAAAAGCCCGCUCGCCGGAAGACCAAGGGUUCCUGUCCAACGUUAAUCGGGGCAGGGUGAGUCGACCCCUAAGGCGAGGCCGAAAGGCGUAGUCGAUGGGAAACAGGUUAAUAUUCCUGUACUUGGUGUUACUGCGAAGGGGGGACGGAGAAGGCUAUGUUGGCCGGGCGACGGUUGUCCCGGUUUAAGCGUGUAGGCUGGUUUUCCAGGCAAAUCCGGAAAAUCAAGGCUGAGGCGUGAUGACGAGGCACUACGGUGCUGAAGCAACAAAUGCCCUGCUUCCAGGAAAAGCCUCUAAGCAUCAGGUAACAUCAAAUCGUACCCCAAACCGACACAGGUGGUCAGGUAGAGAAUACCAAGGCGCUUGAGAGAACUCGGGUGAAGGAACUAGGCAAAAUGGUGCCGUAACUUCGGGAGAAGGCACGCUGAUACGUAGGUGAAGUCCCUCGCGGAUGGAGCUGAAAUCAGUCGAAGAUACCAGCUGGCUGCAACUGUUUAUUAAAAACACAGCACUGUGCAAACACGAAAGUGGACGUAUACGGUGUGACGCCUGCCCGGUGCCGGAAGGUUAAUUGAUGGGGUCAGCGCAAGCGAAGCUCUUGAUCGAAGCCCCGGUAAACGGCGGCCGUAACUAUAACGGUCCUAAGGUAGCGAAAUUCCUUGUCGGGUAAGUUCCGACCUGCACGAAUGGCGUAAUGAUGGCCAGGCUGUCUCCACCCGAGACUCAGUGAAAUUGAACUCGCUGUGAAGAUGCAGUGUACCCGCGGCAAGACGGAAAGACCCCGUGAACCUUUACUAUAGCUUGACACUGAACAUUGAGCCUUGAUGUGUAGGAUAGGUGGGAGGCUUUGAAGUGUGGACGCCAGUCUGCAUGGAGCCGACCUUGAAAUACCACCCUUUAAUGUUUGAUGUUCUAACGUUGACCCGUAAUCCGGGUUGCGGACAGUGUCUGGUGGGUAGUUUGACUGGGGCGGUCUCCUCCUAAAGAGUAACGGAGGAGCACGAAGGUUGGCUAAUCCUGGUCGGACAUCAGGAGGUUAGUGCAAUGGCAUAAGCCAGCUUGACUGCGAGCGUGACGGCGCGAGCAGGUGCGAAAGCAGGUCAUAGUGAUCCGGUGGUUCUGAAUGGAAGGGCCAUCGCUCAACGGAUAAAAGGUACUCCGGGGAUAACAGGCUGAUACCGCCCAAGAGUUCAUAUCGACGGCGGUGUUUGGCACCUCGAUGUCGGCUCAUCACAUCCUGGGGCUGAAGUAGGUCCCAAGGGUAUGGCUGUUCGCCAUUUAAAGUGGUACGCGAGCUGGGUUUAGAACGUCGUGAGACAGUUCGGUCCCUAUCUGCCGUGGGCGCUGGAGAAUUGAGGGGGGCUGCUCCUAGUACGAGAGGACCGGAGUGGACGCAUCACUGGUGUUCGGGUUGUCAUGCCAAUGGCACUGCCCGGUAGCUAAAUGCGGAAGAGAUAAGUGCUGAAAGCAUCUAAGCACGAAACUUGCCCCGAGAUGAGUUCUCCCUGACUCCUUGAGAGUCCUGAAGGAACGUUGAAGACGACGACGUUGAUAGGCCGGGUGUGUAAGCGCAGCGAUGCGUUGAGCUAACCGGUACUAAUGAACCGUGAGGCUUAACCUU